AAGUGGCAAUUGAUAAGCCGUC
rnacentral:miRNA from 1 species